GCAUCAUACUGUGGACUGCGAAUGGCUCAUUAAUCAGUUAUCGUUUAUUUGAUAGUACCUUUACCUGGAUAACCGUGGUAAUUCUAGAGCUAAUACAUGCUAAAAACCCCGACUUCGGAAGGGGUGUAUUUAUUAGAUAAAAAACCAAUGCCCUCUGGGCUCCUUGGUGAUUCAUAAUAACUUAACGAAUCGCAUGGCCUUGCGCCGGCGAUGGUUCAUUCAAAUUUCUGCCCUAUCAAUUUUCGAUGGUAGAGUAGUGGUCUACCAUGAUCUUAACGGGUAACGGGGAAUUAGGGUUCUAUUCCGGAGAAGGAGCCUGAGAAACGGCUACUACAUCCAAGGAAGGCAGCAGGCGCGCAAAUUACCCAAUGCUAAUUCAGCGAGGUAGUGACAAUAAAUACUGAUACGGGGCUCUUUCGGGUCUCGUAAUUGGAAUGAGUACAAUCUAAAUCCCUUAACGAGGAACAAUUGGAGGGCAAGUCUGGUGCCAGCAGCCGCGGUAAUUCCAGCUCCAAUAGCGUAUAUUAAAGUUGUUGCCGUUAAAAAGCUCGUAGUUGAACCUUGGACCUGGCUGAUCUGUCCUCCUAAUCGAGCGCACGGAUUCGGUCGGGUCUUUCCUUCUGGGGAGCCCUAUGCCCUUCACUGGGUGUAGUGGGGAACCAGGACUUUUACCUUGAAAAAAUUAGAGUGUUCAAAGCAGGCCUUUGCUCGAAUACAUUAGCAUGGAAUAAUAGAAUAGGACAUCGGUUCUAUUUUGUUGGUUUCUAGGACCGCUGUAAUGAUUAAUAGGGAUAGUCGGGGGCGUCAGUAUUCAAUUGUCAGAGGUGAAAUUCUUGGAUUUAUUGAAGACUAACUACUGCGAAAGCAUUCGCCAAGGAUGUUUUCAUUAAUCAGUGAACGAAAGUUAGGGGAUCGAAGACGAUCAGAUACCGUCGUAGUCUUAACCAUAAACUAUGCCGACUAGGGAUCGGACGGUGGUUUUUUUAUGCCCCGUUCGGCACCUUACGAGAAAUCAAAGUUUU
rnacentral:rRNA from 1 species